GGUGAAGGAGUAUAGAGUUCAUGAGACAUCGCCUUAGAUGUAUUUUUAAAACACGGAAUGUAUCUAGGGUAAUGUCUUUGAACAUCUUUUCUCAUGGGUGACAAUAAUUUUCCUUUUAAAAGCUCUAGAGUUUUAUCAACUCUAUUUUGACCCAUGAGUUCUCCUUCAUGAAGAAUUUCUCUUUUAUGUGUGAAGGUAGUCUCGUUGAUACAACCUUUGUUCAUGGAAAUUUCAAUUCUUUGCAAAGGUUGUCUCANNN
rnacentral:lncRNA from 1 species